rnacentral:rRNA from 1 species
AUUGAACGCUGGCGGCAGGCCUAACACAUGCAAGUCGAACGAGUGGCGGACGGGUGAGAAAUGUCUGGGAAACUGCCUGAUGGAGGGGGAUAAAUACUGGAACCGGUAGCUAAUACCGCAAACCAUCAGAUGUGCCCAGAUGGGAUUAGCUAGUUGGUGGGGUAACGGCUCACAAAGGCGACGAUCCCUAGCGGGUCUGAGAGGUUGACCACCCACACUGGAACUGAGACACGGUCCAGACUCCUACGGGAGGCAGCAGUGGGGAAUAGUGCGCAAGGGGCGCAAGCCUGAUGCAGCCAUGCCGCGUGUAUGAAGAAGGCCUUCGGGUUGUAAAGUACUUUCAGCGGGGAGGCGUUACCCGCAGAAGAAGCACCGGCUAACUCCGUGCCAGCCGCCGCGGUAAUUC